rnacentral:rRNA from 1 species
GAUGAACGCUAGCUACAGGCUUAACACAUGCAAGUCGAGGGGCAUCAGGAAGAAAGCUUGCUUUCUUUGCUGGCGACCGGCGCACGGGUGAGUAACACGUAUCCAACCUGGCCCUUUACUCGGGGAUAGCCUUUCGAAAGAACGAUUAAUACCCGAUGGCAUAAUGAUUCCGCAGUAGGUUUCAUUAUUAAAGGUAUUCCGGUAAAGAUGGGGAUGCGUUCCAUUAGGUUGUUGGUGAGGUAACGGCCCACCAAGCCUUCGAUGGAUAGGGGGUUCUGAGAGGAAGGUCCCCCCA